GACGAACGCUGGCGGCGUGCCUAACACAUGCAAGUCGAACGGAAAGGCCCUGCUCUUGCGGGUCGCUCGUUUGGCGAACGGGUGAGUAACACGUGUGUAUCCUGCCCCUGUCUUUGUGAUAACUUCACGAAACUGCGGCUCAUAUCGCAUAGAAGCUUUUGCUCCACGUGGGGCGAAGGAAAGAGACGGCGGUUGGGGCUGGACUGGCAGCUUACCGGCUUGCUGGUGAGGUAGUUGCUUACGAAGCUUUUGACGGGUAGCCGGCCUGAGAGGUUGACCAGCCACAAGAGGACUGAGAUACGGCCCAGAAUGCAACGGGAGGCAGUAGUGGGAAAUAUUGCGCAGUGGCGGGAAGCCAGAUACAACGGCGCCGCGUGCGUGAAGACGGCUUACGAGUUGUGAACAGCUUUGGCAUGAGCCGUAGAGUGAGUGACGGUAAUGAGUAAGAAAGCACCGGCUAACUACGUG
rnacentral:rRNA from 1 species